rnacentral:rRNA from 1 species
AUACGGAGGGUCCGAGCGUUAUCCGGAAUCAUUGGGUUUAAAGGGCCCGUAGGCGGGAAUCUAAGUCAGUGGUGAAAUCUUGCAGCUCAACUGUAAAAUUGCCAUUGAUACUGGAUUUCUUGAAUUAGUGUGAAGUGGUUAGAAUGUGUAGUGUAGCGGUGAAAUGCAUAGAUAUUACACAGAAUACCAAUUGCGAAGGCAGAUCACUAACACUAUAUUGACGCUAAGGGACGAAAGCGUGGGGAGCGAACAGGAUUAGAAACCCUAGUAGUCC